rnacentral:misc_RNA from 1 species
AAGCAGCUUCCUCAUAUGGAUAUCUGAAACAUUAGAGAAGUAAAGAGAACGCAAUGAUUCUUGAGAGAUUAAGGAACUUGCUGAAUAGGUUUUACAGACACCAAAACAGGUGAAAUCUAUAUCUGGUAUCUAAUCCAGUAAAUAAUAGUUUUUCUCAUGUCCUUAUUGAAGGCUAUUUUGCAAAAAGCAAGCAUUCAUCACUCAAAAUUCUUUCUCCAAUGAACUAAUACUCACAGAAGUAAUAGAACACUAGAACAAUAUCAAAGACAUCAACAACGAUAAGUUUUUCCAUUUACAUGGGAGUUAUGCAACGUGAUCAACACUUAAGUGCUUGGGUAUUGACAAUGUAAAUCUAAGUAGGGGGGGGCGUGGCGCGGUGGGGGUGUGGGGGGGUGGGGUUGUUGCUGGGAGAGGGGAAAGCUCAGUUCUUCCUUUCAACUUACCCAUAAACACCACAAGAUAUAGCA